UAAGGAGAAUGAAUGCAACCCAAACAUGGCUGGGCAGGGAGACGGAAUUCUGAAGCGGCCGUCGGACGCUCUCGAUGACAGUGGGUGUCUGAUGGACGACUUAGCGACCAUUUGUCUGUCACCGUCCACCCCGUUCGGCAGAAAUAUCGCGCCGCUGGCUAUUAGGUGUCGGGAUUAAUGGCUUACGCCGGUGGUAUCGUACCAGCAGAGUGCGGUAUGACACCGUCGUGCCCCCCGGACAUGCCGAUUAUAUGGCCCCGUUGGAAAUGGAUGGUGCACUGCGUCUUAUUAUUUGAUUGUAGCCAGUUUUUAGUACGGCGGUUUCUGUGAGACUGGUGGUCGGAAAUGUCACCUAGGGAGCCAUUUGUCGAUGACAAGUGGCGAUACAAUGUCAUCAAGCACCAAUCGUUCAAUCGUUGUUAGAAAUA